rnacentral:lncRNA from 1 species
GGGAGGGUGUAUGUGUCCAGGAAUUUAUCCACUUCUUCUAGAUUUUCUAGUUUAUUUGCGUAAAGAUGUUUAUAGUAAUCUCUGAUGGUAGUUUGUAUUUCUACGAGAUCAGUGGUAAUAUCCCCAUACUUUCUACUGUAUCUUUAAUCCCACCUAUUGGUCCCACUUAUUGGUGCCUGGUAGGAAAUUGGCACCAAAUUUCUCCUACAAGAAAAAUGUGGUUCUUUUCUGUUUACCAAGU